rnacentral:rRNA from 1 species
UUGAACGCUGGCGGCAUGCUUUACACAUGCAAGUCGAACGGCAGCGGGGGCUUCGGCCUGCCGGCGAGUGGCGAACGGGUGAGUAAUGCAUUGGAACGUACCCAGUCGUGGGGGAUAACUACGCGAAAGCGUAGCUAAUACCGCAUACGCCCUGAGGGGGAAAGCGGGGGACCUUCGGGCCUCGCGCGAUUGGAGCGGCUGAUGUCGGAUUAGCUAGUUGGUGGGGUAAAGGCCUACCAAGGCGACGAUCCGUAGCUGGUCUGAGAGGAUGAUCAGCCACACUGGGACUGAGACACGGCCCAGACUCCUACGGGAGGCAGCAGUGAGGAAUAUUGGACAAUGGGGGAAACCCUGAUCCAGCAACGCCGCGUGAAUGAUGACGCUAUUACGCAGUGUAAAGUUCUGUAAGGAGGGAAGAACCGCCGGGUAUUGCCCGGUCUGACGGUACCUCCUAAGUAAGCACCGGCUAACUCCGU